rnacentral:tRNA from 1 species
GCCGAGGUAGCACAAUGGUAGUGCAGCGCACUUGUAAUGCGAAGGUUGGGGGUUCAAGUCCUCUCCUCGGCA